GACAGGCACAGUCCACUUGCUGCCUGCAUUCUCUCUUGUAACCCAUUCAAUAGCCCCCAACCCCAACCCCCAGGUUAACACUAGCCCAGUUUAAAAUGUGUCAUUACCCUAGUUCAGAAAGGUUCAAUGACUUCUCCAAGACCACAGAGCCUACUAGGGGACUGGCUGUGUUAACUUUACAGCUCAUUUUCUGAACCCACAGCCUAGGGAUCUUCCAGUUAUGCUCAGCCCAGGCUGUAGUAGCAAGAAUCUGGCUGACCCCGUGCUUCCCGGGGUGGGAGCAUGUAGGACUCUGGCCUGUCAGGGAGAGUUACAGUCAUGGGGAGGGCUGCUCUGACAGAUCUUUGAUGGGGGGGGGAGCCUGGCUUUGAUCUCCUUUUGAAGUUCUGGCACUAGGACCAGUGACUUGAGUGGGGAGAGUGUGUGGGGAGGGGGGAGAUGAAAGGGUGGGCUGGGGGGAGGGCGUAGAGGGAGGGGUUUAGGGGAGGGCCAGGAGGAUGAAACAGAUGUGUGAACAAGAGGAGGGAAGUCAGGCAGCUGGGAGAGAAGAGAGGCUGUGGGAAAGGGGCUGGGUGGAGGAACCAAGCUGAAGGCUGGCAGGGACUGUCAGAGCAAGGCCAAGGGGAGAAGGAAAAGGCUGAAUGGCGGGCAGGGGUGGGGAGGGGCAAGAGAGAGGGGACCAAGACGGAGGCUGUAGGGCCCUUAUUUUCUAUAUCCUCUGAGCUCAGAGAAAAACACAGAGCUCCCCCAGCCACCAAGUCAUAAGUCCCUUUCUCCUCCCAAGCAGAGGUUCUCAAGCUGGCUCAGGCUGGGCUGGUUAUGGUACUAGUUCAGGCCUGAGGCCUCCUGGAAGGUACCAAAUGGUCCCAAGGAGAGAGGGGGAGGCAGGCAGGCAGUAUCUCACCAGGAGACUUCUAUUAGGGGUCUAUGGCCCGGGACUGUGCCCAGUCAAGGGGGGAAGGGAAGGAUGAGCCCAUGCACCUGUUCCUGUCUGACAUUCCGGUUUUUACUGCGAGGCUGCCUCAAGGCACGCAUGUGAGAACCUGGCGGGAAGGGGCUCGCAGGCAGAGAGGGCUAAUUCCCAGCUGCACAGCUCCCUCCUUCCCAGGACACACCACAGCUCAUUCUUCAUGUUCACCCCACCCCCACUCCUUAGAUUCUGUCUGAGCUCUCAUCAGCUGGGCAGCUCUGCCCUUGCCCAGAGGACCCUAGUUCAGCUCCUCCAGGGCAAGGGCCUCUCUGGGCCAGGGACAGUCACCUCCCCCUACACGUGGGAAUGUUUGGCAAGAGAAACCCCUAGAGGAGGCAGCAAAAUCUGUCCCUUUCCUGGGUUCCUGCCAGGAGCACCCAGGAUUAAUUUGGUCCUAGCCCCAAGGACUUCAGAGAGCCUGGGAGGGCAUCCAAAUUAGGAUUUAUAGGAUUAGCUGCUUUUUCUGCACAUCUUUCCCCCACCCCCAAAACCUGUCUCCCCUACCCUGAGCCUCAUGCCUAGAGCCAGACCUCACAAGAAGCUGCAGCAGCCCCCGGGAGUCAAGGAGGGCAGAGUUGUCCUCCCAGUGACCCCUGCAUGUCUGAUUUCACUAUGACAUCUGCCUCUUGGAGGACCAGAGUUGACAUGGUGGCUUCAGAAUCCCCAAGGCUGCUGAGUACCAUCUUCAUGUUCUAGCCAGGACUCUCUGCUCACAAGGAUGAGGAGAUGGGACUCUCUCCUUAAAGAUGAGGGAUCUUGUCCUGUGCUGCCUUAGGCCCACCUGAAUGUCCUCAGGAGCAAGUUGGCUCUCCCUGUCCGGAGUUGGCUCCAGCUUCUGGGAGGGGGACAGAUCCAUCCUGAAGGAACCGAAUGAAGCGGUACAGAAGGAAGACUGCCAGCGUCAUGCCGAGGAUGAGGACCAUGGCCAAUGCACCGCCAAGGAGCCUGGUUGCACUUCCUGGGCCCCCC
rnacentral:sRNA from 1 species